UUAUGCUGAUUCUAGAUGACAUCAUCCAUCACGUGACCCUACCUCUGCCAUUUCAAACCGGGCACGUGUAGGAAGCAGUAACAGCGCUUCUCUGAUCAGAAAAAUCUCUUAAGUUUAUUCCUUAACAAACUUCUUAGGACAAUGUCGGGUGGCUUUGGUGGCGGUAGAGGUCGGGGAGGAGGAAGAGGCCGCGGUGGCGGCGGCUAUGGAGGAGGAGGGUUUGGUGGUGGCGGCGGCGGCUACGGAGGCGGUGGCGGCGGCUAUGGAGGAGGUGGCGGAGGUCGUGGUGGGAGGAGAAAUCCCCGCGAGCACCCAACGGACCCCGAAGAUGAACAGUUCAGAAAGCUUUUCAUCGGUGGUCUCAGCUACGAGACAACAGACGAAAGCUUGAAAACACAUUUUGAACAAUGGGGCGAUGUUGUCGACUGUGUUGUAAUGAAGGACCCAAACACAAAACGAUCAAGAGGCUUCGGCUUCAUCACAUACAAGGCAGCUGCUGAAAUUGAUGCUGCUCAGGCCAACAGACCCCAUGUUAUUGACAGUCGAGAGGUGGAAACAAAGCGUGCCAUGCCCAGAGAGGAUGGAGGUGGUUCAUCUCAGCAGUCGGUCAAGAAGAUGUUUGUGGGUGGAAUCAAAGAAGAGUUCACAGAAGAAAUGUUGAAAGAUGUCUUCUCAGAGUUUGGUGAAGUAACUUCAGUUGAUUUCAUCAUGGACAAGGCCACAGGCAAACCCAAGGGCUUCUGUUUCAUUUCCUAUGAUGACCAUGACUGUGUUGACAAAGCUGUCUUGAAAAAGUACCAUGAAGUAAAUGGCCGCCAGGUUGAGGUAAAGAAGGCGACAUCCCGAGAUAACCAGGGAGGUGCCCGCGGAGGUGGUCGGGGUGGCCGUGGAGGUCGUGGGGGUUACCAACAGGGUGGCAGUUACGGUGGAGGCGGAGGCUAUGGCGACAGCUAUGGAAAUGGCUACAACCAAGGUGGCGGAUAUGGUGGUGGUUACAGUCAGCAGAGUGGCGGCUAUGGAGGAGGCUAUGGCAAUGACAACUGGAACCAGGGCGGCUACAAUGACUACAGCAGUGGAGGUGGCUAUGGUGGCAACCAGGGAGGAAAUGGAUGGGGAGACAACUCAAGCUUUGGCUCCAACUAUGGAUCAUCGUAUGGAGGUGGCGUCAUGAAAGGUGGAAACUAUUCACAAAGAGGAUCGGGACCAUAUGGGGAUGGUGUUUCAGGCUCUUACGGGAGUGGAGGAGGGACUGGUGGCUAUGGCGGUGGCUACAACAGACGCUGAACAGUAUUUAGGCAACAUAGUUUUCUGUUCACAAUGGACCAAGAAUAAGUGGCUCCUGAGUCUUAAUCCACGCCAGUCCUGAUCUCAAGGUUUAGAAAAGGACUGCUCAAUAAGAAAGGGACUGCAUUGGAGACAAAAUAUUGUCUAUGUUUCAAAUGGCAAGACAACAAUGUACUUCCCAGGACACGAGGAACUUUCCAAUUGUGUAAAUUUGAUGAAUAAACACAAUUUUUAGAAAAAAA
rnacentral:misc_RNA from 1 species